GGAGAGGUGUCCGAGUGGCCGAAGGAGCACGCUUGGAAAGCGUGUGUACGGCAACGUACCGAGGGUUCGAAUCCCUCCUUCUCCGCCA
rnacentral:tRNA from 2 species